UACGUAGGCAGCGAGCGUUGUUCGGAGUUACUGGGCGUAAAGCGUGCGUAGGCGGUGUCUUAAGUUUGUUGUGAAAUCUCCCGGCUUAACCGGGGGGGUGCGGCGAAUACUGAGAUGCUGGAGUGCCGGAGAGGUAAGCGGAAUUCCUGGUGUAGCGGUGAAAUGCGUAGAUAUCGAGAGGAACACCUGCGGCGAAGGCGGGUUGCUGGGCCGACACUGACGCUGAUGCGCGAAAGCCAGGGGAGCGAACGGG
rnacentral:rRNA from 1 species